rnacentral:tRNA from 1 species
GCCGGAGUGGCGGAACGGCAGACGCGGCGGUCUCAAAAACCGUUGUCGAAAGACGUGCGGGUUCAAAUCCCGCCUCCGGCA